CGAAGCCUGGACUCCGGUGCCCUGUGUCACCUGGAAGCCACUUUUUCCUGGCUUCUUUCCGCCGGGCCCGGGUAGCGAGUAGGAGCGGAGACACCGGAGGAGCUGGCUGCGGGCGCGGAUCGGCUGAAGGGCGGGCACUUUGUCACUCUCUGCCGUCCCUGGGGCGCCAGCCCCUGGAACUUCAUUUAAUCCUGCCCGUAGCCUGCGCAGGGGCAUGAUUAACCCCACUGUACUGAUGAAGAAGCUGCACACCGGGAUGAGAACGGACUCGCCCUGGGGCAGGCCCCUGGAAAGGGACACGGAAGCUUCCCCCUCUGUCCUUUCCCCGCGGGGUAGGAAGCUCACGCGGCUGGGUCUGUUAGGAAACAGGUGAUUCUGAAACACACUCUGCCCCCUUUCUAGGUUCCUUGUUUUGUUUUUUGUCAGCACCGACCUUAUGCCUCAAAUUCGAACAAUUUUUGCAGAUGAGCGUUUUGAAGUGGAAGCAGCCCUGGCUCACAGCUCUUUUUCUUGCAGCGCUUUCUGCCGAUGCAGAGCGAGUUGCCAGGCACCCUCGCGGGCCACACACUGCUUUCUCCCGGUGGAUGAGGUCGCCUGCAGACCCGGGCUGGGCCUUAUGGGCUGCCCAGGUGUAGAUUUCUUAAAAAGCCUCAUGGGACAUAGCACCAUUGCUGAAUGCCUGGUACAUAUAAGAAACCUGCCUGCAUGGGAGGCACUCUACAAACACAGUAUGUUACCUGAAAUCUGAGAACUAAAUGAGCCAGACUUUAAUUCUAAAUGGUUAAAAAAAAAAAAAAGAGCACUUUUCAUAACAUUAUUCUAU
rnacentral:lncRNA from 1 species